AAAAAUGCUCAAUAUUUCAUUUGAUUAAUUGAUUCCAAUAUAGGAUUGGUAUGAAUCGAGUGAUAAGCUGAUAUUUUCAGAUUUCGCCAAAAAGCGCUCACAUUGAAUCAACAAAAUGGCGCCGACUUUCAAAAACUUAAAAUAUUUUUCUGCCACUUUUUAGUCGAUUACUCCAUAGUUAUCCAUUAUUAAACUCCAGGACCUUUUAACUAAAUAGCAAAAGGUUGUAGGAGGAACCUACAGUAUUACAGAUACAUCAUGUCUGAUGACAGUGACCUAGAAAACCUGUUCCAAGACCUCAGUCAGAAGAUAAGUUUUGGCAGUGCCAGACCUAAGCCUACAAAGGCCAAGAAGAAAGCAACCAAGAAUACUCCAAAGACAGCUGUUCAUGGAGGAUUGAAAGAAUGGGCCUAUGAAGAUUACACUGUUUCACCACUGGGAGUAGUUCUCUCACAAAAUUCCCAACCUGUUAUCUGUGAUGAAGAUGAUCAUCAUAAAAGUUCAGUUAAAGCAGCCAUAAAAUCUAAGCCUAAAGUCACAAAAACCAAAGAGAACAAACAACCAAACAUUGUGAUGGAAGAUGACCUUGACCUUGAUGCUAUCUUACCCGCACCCAAACAAUCCACCACCAAGAAAUCCAAGAUUUACAAAACAAGGGUCAGCAGUAAGAAAUUGUUAAAAAUAGGGGCAGAAAGUUUGAAGUCACCCCCUUCAUCCACAAAACGAGACGAACCACCAAAGCCUCCCAAUAAUAUAGAUCUUGAUUUGGAUUUUCUACCAGAUGUUAAGUCAUCUUCAAAAACUGAAAAAUUGAGAAAAACUAAACUACCUGCCAAAGGUCCUAGAAAGAACAAACCUAGUAAAGAAAGUCUACCAAUUGAGGAUGGUUUCAGACCAGAUGAUACGAACAUAUUCAGUUCUACAGCACGUGACAGUCUUACUUUAAACGACACUGUGUGUUCCAUCAGAAGCGUCCUCUCUCAACCCUCUGCAGACCUCGACUUUGAGAUUGACUCAGAUCUCGAUGAAAUUCCUUUGAAGAAAACAAACCCUAAACAAAAAUCCAAAAAGAAACCCCAACCAUCUGACGUCAUUGAUGAUUUGGACUUACCUUGUAUUAUGCCUGUUUCAUCUCAGAGGAAAUCUGUUAAAAAAGGUGUAAAGUCAAAGAAAAAAGCUAAAAAUGGUCCACCUAUUGUACAAAGCACUAACAUUAGUGCAAUUAAGAGCCCCAAUGAACUGUAUAAUAUAAAUAGUAUCAGCAGUUGUUCAUCGGAUAGCGCCAAUAGUACAAAUCUCGGUGGAAGUUACGAAAUUGAGAAAAAAUGUAAGAACGUAGAUGCUCCGAUAGAAGAAGUCAUUCCUGAUACACAGCAGACCUCAACGAGUGACAGAAAUGACUCAGAUGGGAGUGUCAAGCUUGGUAAUCAAAAUGAUGUCAUCCCUGACUCACAAGAACCUGCAAUAGAUGGCACUGAAAGUGCAGUUAUCCCUGAUUCUCAGAAUGUAAUUGAAAUUGUCCAAUUGAACCCCUUGAUGGUCCCAGACACUGAAAAUAUAGAUGAAUGUAUGACAGAUGAUGCCGACACCGAUAAUGCUGCUGAACCUGAUAAAGACAUUAUAGUUCCAGAUAGUGAGGUGGUGCCUAUAAGUAAGAACAACAGUGAUCAUGCUGAAACAUUUGUGCCUGAGAUUGUACAACUGAAUCCCUUAAUGUUAGUGCCAGAUAGUGAAAAUAUCAAUGACUUAAUGACUGAUGAUAGUGCUUGUGUUGAUGAAGGUAAUGCUAAUGGUAGAACACAUGAAACAACUGUUCCUGAAACACAGAACCUUUUGACUGAAGAUGAAGACGAAAACCACCCUAUUGAUGAAAAGAAACUAAGCCACAAGAAACUGGAAAAAGACAAUGUACAAAAUGAUCAUAAAGAUCAAAAUAUACAGCAUGUGAAUAUAAAAGCUAAUGCUGCUCAUACACCUACAUCUAGCCGAAAUAUUGAUAAUUUUAUCUCGGAAAGCCGAAGUGAAUGCUUCAAAAGUCCAAAUAUCGCUUCAGUGAAAGACUUGGAUAACAACAGAAGAGUUUCAAUUAAUACAAUAGAUGUCACCACUAUUGCAAGUACCGCCAAUCUAAAACACGUCAUGAAUGUGAAACGGACAGGAGGAAUACAUGAUGAAACACUGAACAGACAUUUUCAAGGAAAAGGAAAUAAACAACCAUUUGAAAAUAUAUUAACUGUUGAGGAUACUCAAACAUCUGAUGCAGAUGAUUCCGAAAAUGUCCCAGUGCCAGAUAACAUUGUGCUUGAUACUCAAAUGGAUGACUUUCAAAUUCCUGAAUUUUCCGAAAUCCCGAAAAAUUCUGAAAAUUUUCGCAUUGCUGAAACACAAUUUUCAGAUGAUGAGAUUACAAAUGCCAAAACAGGAGGACAAUUCAUUUGCCCUGAAACUCAAGAUAUGGAUGACGACACCAAUGAUUCCAGACCAUCAUUUGCAAGUGAAGCUUCGUUAGACAUAAAUGAAUUUAUCAAGAGAGGAAAGACAAAACAUGACAUAGUUCCAGAUUCAAUGGAUAUUGAUGACGUGAUUCAAAAUGUCGAGAAGUCAAUAGACUCAGUUGCAAUGAAAACUGUUAUACAUCGCCCUAUGCCCCAAUAUUCUCCCCAUGCAGACUAUAACGCAGAUCUAGACUCCAGCUUAGAAAGCUCAAAAUCAUGUACAAUUCUGAGAAAAAAGAAACACCAUCAUAAUUUGAACAGGACUAAAGGCACUCCAAGACAAAUGGAAGCAAAUAGUGCUGUCAAAGUUGGUAUAAGAGUAAAACAAGAGAAUGAACAGAAUCCUGUUGCUAGGGACUCUGACAGUGAUUCUGAUGAUGUCAUAGAAUUGCCCCACUCUAGAAGCAUCAUAAAAUUCCCAGUUCCUGAAACCAUGGAUGUUGGAGACUCAGACAGCGAGGAUUCUGAUGUCACAGUAGACGACUUUAGUCGAAAUGUCUCGAUAUGUAGCGAAGGGCUUCUUAGUGAAGAUGAUGAUAACCCAGUCAUUGAAAAUAUAAAAAGUCCAAAUGUAAGUACCAGAAAAGUUCCCUUUGAUCUCAAUGAGUCUCAGUUGUCCAGACAUUCAAUGGGACUUCAAGUGUCAAUGACCUCAAAUGAUACCCAUAAUGCAACUGACACAGCAGACGACACAGAAAAUUCCCAUAAUGCAUCUGGUCUAACCAAUGGCAAAAAUAGAACAGCACAAUCUGAAGAUGGAAUAAAUGAUGAGAAAAGUAUAGGACUUCAAUGUUUAGUUGAGAGCAAUCCUGAGGAUGAUGAUACACAAGAUAAACACAAGAACAACAUGGUGAAACACAAAAUCAACCAAUCUGAUGAUGAAUCAUUCUUCUCUGCUGCCUCAGAUUACAAUGAUGACACUGGGAAAGAGAAAUCAGAUAUUGAAAACUCCAUCUCUCAACAUUCUAUUGGACUCCAAGCAUCAAUGGAGACCAUAGAAACUUCAGACACUGACACUAAUGAUCACAUACAACAGAACAAUGUUGAUGUACCUGAUAAACACUCUAUUGGACUCCAGGCUUCAUUUGAAAGCUCUGAAAAUGAGGAAUAUGGAGCACCUCAAUCCAAAAAUUCUGCUGGAAUUCUGAAAAGGGAAAACAAAGUGGAAAGUGCAAUAGAUAGUAACACUGACAAACAUACCAGUAAUGUGAUGAGUCAAAUCUGGAUGAAGAUAUUAUGAACUUAAGUGGUAUUAUGACCUCAAAAUUAAAAAUAAAUCAUGGAGCGAAAUUAAGUGGUCCAAUUAUAACAGAUGAUGAUGACUUUUUACCAACACAAAAAUCAUCAAAGAAAUCAAAAUCAAAGAAAGCUACUAUCAAAGCUAAAAUUGAUGAACUUGUGAACCUUGACCUUGACUCAGAUGACCUUGACCUUGAUAGUGUAUUGCCCAUUCCAAAGAGUACGGCAAAAACAAAAAAGGGAAAGAAACAAAAUAAAAAGUCAACAAAGAAAACUGAAGAAACAAAUAACUAUAAGGAUCCUAAAAUAAACAAAACCACUAAAAAAUCUAAAACAUCAAAACUGCAAAUAGACCUCGAUAUCAGUGAUUCUGUAGACAUCUGUCCAUCUCAACACACAGUAACAGAUGGCCCAGAGAAAUCAAAGAAAUCUAAAACGCCCAAACUUCACAUAGACCUUGAUAUCAGUGAUUAUGAUGAUGAUCCAGAGAUAUCAAAGGCACCUGAGCCUAUUGUAAACUCAUCAAAGAAAAGAUCAAAGGAUUUACCUGUGCACUCACAUGUAGAUUCAAUACAGAGUUAUGAAGAUGAGCUACCUGAUGUAUCAACCUCACCCCAUCCAAGCUUUAGUCAACCAAGGGUUGAUAUUGUGAGUUUGCUGUCAGAUUCCAGUGAAGAUGACGAUGCAAUGGAAAAUUUUUUCUCAAAGAUGAAAACUCCAGGAAAAUCACAAGUUCAGCCAAGUUAUAAUGACAACAACGAUGAUGAUUAUGAUGACAAUAAUUUCAUCGUGCCUGAUGAUAUGGUUAGCAGUAGUGAAAGUGAUGACAGUUUGUUUUACAAGAAAAGUCUAGUAGACACACCAGCAUCAAGGCCCAAGAAAUCCAGUCACAAGUACAACACCAGCAGUGAAGACUCAGAUAUAUCAACCCCAGGGUCAUACAGACCAAAGAUCGCCAGUACAACAAGCAAUGACACUUCCGUUUUCUCAACCCCUGGAAGCAGUAAACCUAAUAGGAAUACAAGUGCAGGGAGUCAGGAUACAAGCAAUGAAGUUCUUGGGGUCUCAACGCCUCAUUCAUAUUUCAAGACACCUAAACUACCAGGUAAGACACCAAAAUCAGCUGGAACUCCUCAUAUUGACAACACUGACCUUGGACGUUCUCUCACAGAUAGACUCUUCAAAACGAAGGUUUCUGGUACCCUAAGCUCUCUCGCAAAGCCCACAGUGAAGUCUAAGCCAACAGUGCCUCAGAGUACAGGAGUAAUAAAUAAAACAAAGAAAGUAGUCCCAGAUGUUGUUCGGUCCAGAUCUUCAGAAUAUAGGCCCUCAACAUACAGCUUUCUGAAGUCUCUGUCUACCAAUGUGGAGAACCAAAGGCGCCAUCCAGAUGCUUUGGAGUAUGUGAAACAAUUCAAGAAGAAAAAAGAAGAACUGACUAUGAGACUUGUGAAACUUUACAAUGAAACUGUAUUUGAUUCAAAGUUACCAGAGAACUUGGAGGUGAUCUGGAAUCCACGACUGUUAAAGACAGCUGGUUACUGUGCGUACAAAAGGAAUAGGGUGAAACAAGAUGAUCGCACGUGUCGUAUAGAACUCUCUGGAAAAGUUUGUGAUUCAUCAGAACGUGUACGAGACACUCUCAUACAUGAGAUGUGUCACGCUGCUGUUUGGCUGCUGAAUGGGGUCAAUGAUGGCCAUGGGAGGUUCUGGAAAUACUGGGCAAGAAAGUCAAACAUUGCCCACCCAGAACUGCCUAUAAUUCAGCGUUGCCAUAGUUAUGAAAUAAAUACCAAAUUCACCUACAAAUGUGUGGAGUGUGGCUACCAAAUUGGACGUCAUUCAAAAUCUCUAGAUACAACCAAGAAGGUCUGUGGGUAUUGUCACGGUCAAUUUGAACUCAUCGUCAACAACAAGGAUGGAACUCCAAGGAAACCAAGGGCCCCUUCAACACCGAACAAAUUUGCACUAUUUGUCAAGGACAAUUAUGGCAAACAAAAACAACUGAACAAAGGAGCCCCUCAUAAGGAUAUUAUGAACAUAUUGAGUGCAGAAUUUGCAUCAAAAAGUUCAAUAUGAUUAUUUGUGCUUGAUAUUAAGACAAAGAAAUAUACACACAUGUAUAUACUGCAAUAUAAAUUAAGAUUUGUUCUGAUAUUAAAGGUAGUAGAGAUAAGGGAGAUGAGUUUAGGGUUUCAACUUCAAUUGUCAACAUUUUUUUCAACAUUUCCGAUUUCAUUUUUAAAGUUGUCUGGCAACAGGAUCUGUAUUUUGAUCCAAUAAUCACUGAAAUGGCACCACGAUUUGUAGAGAUGCAAUCUGAUUAUUUCACUGAAAUUUUUGAAAUUUUUAAAAUUUGUCCAAGGAAAGGUUGAAAGAACCCAUCAUAGACCUUUACAAAUACCGGCAAAAUCAAACACUCAAGUGAAUAAUGGACCAGUUUGAGACAAAGGAUGAGUCUGGGAAUGAGUCUGGGUAUCGACUUAGAAAAUAUUGAAAAUUGUAAUGUCUGAAAAACCAAUUCAGCCACACAUAUUAUUAAACUUCAA
rnacentral:misc_RNA from 1 species